CAUGCAAGUCGGACGAUGAUCUUGGGGUUUUGCUUUGGGUGAUUAGUGGCGAACGGGUGAGUAACACGUGAGUAACCUGCCUUGGACUUUGGGAUAACUCUUCGAAAGGGGGGCUAAUACUGGAUAGGACUUUCUGCCGCAUGGUGGGGGGUGUAAAGGUGUUUUUCUGGUCUGGGAUGGGCUCGCGGCCUAUCAGUUUGUUGGUGGGGUGAUGGCCUACCAAGGCGUUGACGGGUAGCCGGCCUGAGAGGGCGACCGGCCACACUGGGACUGAGAUACGGCCCAGACUCUUACGGGAGGCAGCAGUGGGGGAUAUUGCGCAAUGGGCGGAAGCCUGACGCAGCGACGCCGCGUGGGGGAUGGAGGCCUUCGGGUUGUGAACCUCUUUUGCCGGGGGAGAAGCUUUCCUUUUUUUUGGGGGGGUGACGGUACUUGGUGAAUAAGCGCCGGCUAACUACGUGCCAGCAGCCGCGGUGAUACGUAGGGCGCAAGCGUUGUCCGGAAUUAUUGGGCGUAAAGGGCUCGUAGGCGGCUGGUCGCGUCUGUCGUGAAAUCCUCUGGCUUAACUGGGGGCUUGCGGUGGGUACGGGCUGGCUUGAGUGCGGUAGGGGAGAUUGGAAUUCCUGGUGUAGCGGUGGAAUGCGCAGAUAUCAGGAGGAAUACCGAUGGCGAAGGCAGGUCUCUGGGCCGUUACUGACGCUGAUGAGCGAAAGCGUGGGGAGCGAACAGGAUUAGAUACCCUGGUAGUCCACGCUGUAAACGUUGGGCGCUAGAUGUGGGGGCCUUUCCUGGGUUUCUGUGUCGUAGCUAACGCUUUAAGCGCCCCGCCUGGGGAGUACGGCCGCAAGGCUAAAACUCAAAGGAAUUGACGGGGCCCCGCACAAGCGGCGGAGCAUGCGGAUUAAUUCGAUGCAACGCGAAGAACCUUACCAAGGCUUGAAAUGCAGGGAAAUCCGGGUGAGAGUCCGGGUGUGUUUUGCACGUUCUGCACAGGUGGUGCAUGGUUGUCGUCAGCUCGUGUCGUGAGAUGUUGGGUUAAGUCCCGCAACGAGCGCAACCCUUGUCUCAUGUUGCCAGCGGGUAGUGCCGGGGACUCAUGGGAGACUGCCGGGGUCAACUCGGAGGAAGGUGGGGAUGACGUCAAAUCAUCAUGCCCCUUAUGUCUUGGGCUUCACGCAUGCUACAAUGGCUGGUACAGAGGGUUGCGAUGGCGUGAGCCGGGGCGAAUCCCUUAAAGCCGGUCUCAGUUCGGAUUGGGGUCUGCAACUCGACCCCAUGAAGUCGGAGUCGCUAGUAAUCGCAGAUCAGCAACGCUGCGGUGAAUACGUUCCCGGGGCUUGUACACACCGCCCGUCACGUCAUGAAAGUUGGUAACACCCGAAGCCCAUGGCCUAACCGUUUUUGCGGGGGGAG
rnacentral:rRNA from 1 species